rnacentral:rRNA from 1 species
GACGAACGCUGGCGGCGUGCUUAACACAUGCAAGUCGAACGGAAAGGCCCUGCUUUUGUGGGGUGCUCGAGUGGCGAACGGGUGAGUAACACGUGAGUAACCUGCCCUUGACUUUGGGAUAACUUCAGGAAACUGGGGCUAAUACCGGAUAGGAGCUCCUGCUGCAUGGUGGGGGUUGGAAAGUUUCGGCGGUUGGGGAUGGACUCGCGGCUGAUGAGCUUGUUGGUGGGGUAGUGGCUUACCAAGGCUUUGACGGGUAGCCGGCCUGAGAGGGUGACCGGCAACAUUGGGAGUGAGAUACGGCACAGAGUCCUACGGGAGGCAGCAGUGGGGAAUAUUGCACAAUGGGCGGAAGCCUGAUGCAGCAACGCCGCGUGCGGGAUGACGGCCUUCGGGUUGUAAACCGCUUUCGCCUGUGACGAAGCGUGAGUGACGGUAAUGGGUAAAGAAGCACCGGCUAACUACGUG